UACGUAGGGGGCAAGCGUUGUCCGGAUUUAUUGGGCGUAAAGAGCGUGUAGGCGGCCAUACAGGUCAGCUGUGAAAACUCGAGGCUCAACCUCGAGACGUCGGUUGAAACCGUAUGGCUAGAGUCCGGAAGAGGAGAGUGGAAUUCCCGGUGUAGCGGUGAAAUGCGCAGAUAUCAGGAGGAACAUCAAUUGCGAAGGCAGCUCGCUGGGACGUUACUGACGCUUAGACGCGAAAGCGUGGGGGGCAAACAGG
rnacentral:rRNA from 1 species